rnacentral:rRNA from 1 species
AGUGAACGCUGGCGGUAGGCCUAACACAUGCAAGUCGAACGGCAGCACAGUAAGAGCUUGCUCUUACGGGUGGCGAGUGGCGGACGGGUGAGGAAUACAUCGGAAUCUACUUUUUCGUGGGGGAUAACGUAGGGAAACUUACGCUAAUACCGCAUACGACCUACGGGUGAAAGCAGGGGAUCUUCGGACCUUGCGCGAUUGAAUUAGCCGAUGUCGGAUUAGCUAGUUGGCGGGGUAAAGGCCCACCAAGGCGACGAUCCGUAGCUGGUCUGAGAGGAUGAUCAGCCACACUGGAACUGAGACACGGUCCAGACUCCUACGGGAGGCAGCAGUGGGGAAUAUUGGACAAUGGGCGCAAGCCUGAUCCAGCCAUACCGCGUGGGUGAAGAAGGCCUUCGGGUUGUAAAGCCCUUUUGUUGGGAAAGAAAAGCGGCAGGUUAAUACCCCGCUGUUCUGACGGUACCCAAAGAAUAAGCACCGGCUAACUUCGUG